rnacentral:rRNA from 1 species
UACGUAGGGUGCGAGCGUUGUCCGGAAUUAUUGGGCGUAAAGAGCUCGUAGGCGGUUUGUCGCGUCUGCCGUGAAAGCCCAGGGCUUAACCCUGGGUCUGCGGUGGGUACGGGCAGACUAGAGUGUGGUAGGGGAGACUGGAAUUCCUGGUGUAGCGGUGAAAUGCGCAGAUAUCAGGAGGAACACCGGUGGCGAAGGCGGUGGUCUGGGCCGGCACUGACGCUGAGGAGCGAAAGCGUGGGUAGCAAACAGG